CGGAGGGUGCGAGCGUUGUCCGGAAUCACUGGGCGUAAAGGGCGCGUAGGCGGUUUGGUAAGCGUGUGGUGAAAGCCCGGGGCUCAACCCCGGGUCUGCCGUGCGAACUGCUGAACUAGAGCACUGUAGAGGCAGGUGGAAUUCCGAGUGUAGCGGUGGAAUGCGUAGAGAUUCGGAGGAACACCAGUGGCGAAGGCGGCCUGCUGGGCAGUAGCUGACGCUGAGGCGCGACAGCGUGGGGAGCAA
rnacentral:rRNA from 1 species